GUCUGAUCAGUGGCGAACGGGUGAGUAACACGUGAGUAACCUGCCCUUGACUCUGGGAUAACCGCGGGAAACGGCGGCUAAUACCGGAUAUGAGACGUACAGGCAUCUGUUGCGUCUGGAAAGAUUUAUCGGUCAAGGAUGGGCUCGCGGCCUAUCAGCUUGUUGGUGGGGUGAUGGCCUACCAAGGCGACGACGGGUAGCCGGCCUGAGAGGGCGACCGGCCACACUGGGACUGAGACACGGCCCAGACUCCUACGGGAGGCAGCAGUGGGGAAUAUUGCACAAUGGGCGCAAGCCUGAUGCAGCGACGCCGCGUGAGGGAUGAAGGCCUUCGGGUUGUAAACCUCUUUCAGCAGGGAAGAAGCGCAAGUGACGGUACCUGCAGAAGAAGCGCCGGCUAACUACGUGCCAGCAGCCGCGGUAAUACGUAGGGCGCAAGCGUUGUCCGGAAUUAUUGGGCGUAAAGAGCUCGUAGGCGGUUUGUCGCGUCUGCUGUGAAAACCUGAGGCUCAACCUCGGGCUUGCAGUGGGUACGGGCAGACUAGAGUGCGGUAGGGGUGACUGGAAUUCCUGGUGUAGCGGUGGAAUGCGCAGAUAUCAGGAGGAACACCGAUGGCGAAGGCAGGUCACUGGGCCGCAAC
rnacentral:rRNA from 1 species